AUUGAACGCUGGCGGCAGGCCUAACACAUGCAAGUCGAACGAGUGGCGGACGGGUGAGUAAUGUAUGGGCAACUGCGUGAUGGAGGGGGAUAACUACUGGAAACGGUAGCUAAUACCGCAUACCAUCGGAUGUGCCCCGAUGGGAUUAGAUAGGAGGUGGGUUAACGGCUCACCUAGGCGACGAUCCCUAGCUGGUCUGAGAGGAUGACCAGCCACACGUGAACGGAGACACGGCCCAGCCUCCUACGGGAGGCAGCAGUGGGUAAUAGUGCACAAUGGGCGCAAGCCUGAUGCAGCCAGGCCGCGUGUAUGAAGAAGGCCUUCGGGUUGUAAAGUACUUUCAGCGGGGAGGCGUUACCCGCAGAAGAAGCACCGGCUAACUCCGUGCCAGCAGCCGCGGUAAUUC
rnacentral:rRNA from 1 species